UGCACCACGGCGUCACCGGACGAACAGGGCAAGGAAACGAAUCAACGGCUUACCUUGAUGCGGCUGGGGUGCUCGGAAAGGGCGGGGAUGGCUGGACGGAAACGAAUCGGUCCGCGGCGGCUGAUCCUUGGGAAGAUGUGGGCGUCGGCAGACAGUCUACUUGGCACAGAGGACGCGGACGACACGGCAAGGACGAUCUGGUCAACGGUGUGUCUCGGGGCGGCCUCCUUCAACGAUUUCGGGAUUUGAGAUGCGAGGUGUUCCCUGGGCUGGAUGGGAACUAGAGACUAGGUGAGAUGCGUGCUUUUAAUUUUUUUGUUUGUACAAAAGGAUUCUGACAUGAGGAAGUAUCAUUUGCAGAAAACAAGUAUGUACUGCAGGUUUUGCUGCACAAACUCUGGAAGUAAUGUUGUUUGUUCAUUCCCAUAAUAUUAUUUUUUCCUGGUCGGUUGGGCAUAUAUGCCUAUAUUAUGUUUGUGAAUUCCAUCAUAUGAACUACUUUGCAUGAAUUUCCUAGAUAACAUUUCCUUAUGGGAAAAUUUGUUUUUGCAGGAGGCAUGGGAUCUCAUCUCUGCAGACGCUUCUCAAAAUUGUCCAAUAAUUGUGGUAUAUCAUUUCCUUUUCUUACCUUUGCUACCAAAAAAAUAUUCAGCUGACCCACACACCUCCACUCCUUCACUGCCCUCGCAGGCCUCCACCUUGUGACCAUCAGGUGCAUCGGCCCCAUCAGGUCGGCCUGUGUGUUUCGCGCCGGUGGCUUGGAAGACGAAAACGUGCAGGAGCAGAAGUAGUGCAAGGAAGACGCUACAGUGAGCAGAAGCAGUGCAAGGAAGACGCAGACGUGUGGGAGCAGAAGCGGGCUAUGCUCUGUGCUUCGCCGCUGCACUCACGUGCACCAUUACCAAGCAAUGGAGAACCAAAGGUAAGAUGGUCUAAUGAUGUGUUCUUUCUAAUGGAAAAUUGUGUUUUCUCCUGUUGGUAGCUCCUCACGAGGAAAUACGCAUAUGUGUAUUCGACCGAUGAUACCAUUUAUCAUCUCAAAUGGUGAUGUCUUUUCUUACAUUGAUGGUUGUUUCAACCUUAAAUUUUAUUGAUUCCUAAUGCCACCAUCAUAAUGAUGGAAAUUUUAGACUAAGCAAUAGCUUAUGGAUUCACUAUGUAGAUGUUUGAGGACUGUUCAGUAUUGACAACAAUUUUUUGUAGUGUCUAAUUCAUGGUCCACUCUAUACAUUAGUGAAGAUAUGCUUUAAUUUCCAUGCAUGAUGCAUAAUCCCUCCUUGAGAUGCAGAUUAGUGAUUGAUGAUUCACGUACAGAUUUUGUGUGGUUAUAUUCUUAGGGUUCAGACUCAGUUAAGCAGCAUGAUGGAUUGUAUUUUUCGGGCACUAGGUUCCCAUCAAGGCCUUCACUUUCAGGAGGGCUACCGGACAGCGGCGAGGAGCGCAGCCACUUGGUCGACCAUUGGAGCAUUGCAAUUCGAUUCAUGGCAGAAUGCUCCUAGAGCUUUUUUCUCCUCUGCACCGCUAUCGUGAACCCCUCCAGACAGUGUUGCCUUCUUUCCCACCCUGACAGCUUCCUCUAAUGGCAGAAUGCCAUGUUUGGUCUCGCUGGACUGGGAACAAAAGCUUCUUGCCAAUGUUACUUUGGCAGGUCCGUGGCCGGAUCUUAAGAAGAACUUGCAGGCUCAUAUCUCUCUCUCUAUAUCUCUCUCUCUCCAUAAAUCACAAUGUUCAGGUCUGUAAGGAGGAGAUGAGAUGAUCAUGUGUUUUAAGUUUUUUGAGAAAAAUAUCAGAAUUGUAGCAUAUCCAUCAGAAAUGUGGAUUAUAUAUAUCUGAUACAUGUACCUAUCUUCAUAGCAAAGAGAUUGACUACAUGUUGCCUAUAGUCUCUAAGAUGGAACAUAUAUGCUUUUUACUGGAUUUUUUGUGUUUGCCCCAGAAGAGACCGCCGUCAAUGGAUCUCCUCCAGCAUCGUGAAUAUGCGGCACCAAUAGCAGCAUCAACACAAGGUUUCCUCUAGGCUCGGGUUUUGCAUUUGUACCAUGGAUAUUUGUAGUCCGAUGCAUUUUAACAGUAAACUAUAGGAACAAAUAACCAUUGACUGGAUUAUAUAUCCAAACACAUCUCUUGAUUAUUCACUCCCAGUUUUACAAUGUUGAAUCUGUGAAAAAAUAAGAGCGCUGUUACACACAAACAUAGGGAUGAUAUCUUUCUUCUUUUGUAUGAAAUGUUGUAAUUCUCUGAUCUAUUUUAUCGCCACGUGAAUAUUUUAUAUUUCGUACUCUUCGGAUAUAAAUGUGAACCUAAGACUAGAUCAUGCAAGUAAAUGCAUAAUGUAUGCCUACGUAAACAAAGAAACGGAGCUUCUUCGGAAGAAAAAGAAAUGGAGCUGACAAUUAGGGACUUACACUUCAGCAACUCACAAGAACAAUAAUAUAAUUUCUUGGUUAGACUAUCUAUUUAACAUUCUUUCGGUGCCAAGUGAGUUUUUUUGGCUAUAUUUCCUGUCCAAAGUAAUUAUUUUUAACUCACGUUGAUUUUAUAAAAUUAUCCUAGGGAUGUGGAUUUUCCCUUUCCUCUAUAAAGAAGUACCUUAUGCUGGAAAAAAAAGAAAAAUUAAGGGAAGCUGAGGUAUGUUCUUUUGUGUCCUAAUUAUAAGCAUUACCAGUUUUAUGUGCCAAGGUCCAGUAUAGUUAGAGCCACUAUCCUAUUUCAUGCACGCAGCUGCAAACAAUUAGUAAGGUUUAAAUGUAUCCGACUUUGUUUAUCUUAAGAUUGAGUGGACUGGCUAUAUUUUAAUUUAGGCAGUUCAGUAGUCUGUCAAUCUCUAACUAAUGGAAAUGAGAGAAGCCUCAAUUCACAUUAUAUAUGAUUUAUAUGCAUUUCUUAAUCAACGUGUUGAGAAAUAUAAUCAUGCCACUUGGUAAUACUAUCACAUUUUCUG